AUGCUGAGAUAUGAUCUCGAGGAUCAGCUCUCGACCAUCUACACAGACAAAGAAGCAUACUACAGGCUCCACUGCACCCAAUGGUGGGUGCUCCGUGGAGACGCUAAUACGGCUUAUUUCCAGGCGAUCGCCAAUGGGCAGCAAUGACGGAACUCCAUACAUUCCUUGUGGGAUGGAGAUGCCCAGCACAUUCGCCCCUCGGACAUCCGACUCCAUGUAGAUGGCUUCUAUAAAGCCCUAUUCUCCCCCACCCCUUGGGGUGGGGCUGCACUGGCCCCUAAUACUUGGUUGGUGGGCCAGUUAGUAUCCGACGAGACUAAUGCCACCUUGGUGGCACCUUUCUCAGAGGACGAGGUCCUCACGGCGAUCAAGGGUAUGAACCCCUCCUCGGCCCCAGGUCUGGAUGGACUCAUAGUAACGUAUUUCAAAAUAUUCUGGCAAACCAUCAAACAGGAGGUCAUGGCCCUCUUCGAUGAAUUAUUUUCGGGGACCAUGGACCUUGGGCACCUAAACUAUGGGGUCAUCACUCUCAUCCCCAAAGUUCCGGGCGCCUCUGACAUUCGCCAGUUUCGUCCUAUCACUGUG
rnacentral:rRNA from 1 species